rnacentral:rRNA from 1 species
UUCUGGCUCAGGAUUAACGCUGGCGGCGUGCCUAACACAUGCAAGUCGAACGAAAUAUCUUCGGAUAUUUAGUGGCGAACGGGUGAGUAAUGUACAGGUAAUGUACCUUCGUACUGCGAAUAACAAGCUGAAAAGUUUGCUAAUACGGAAUAGUUUCAUUAGGGGGCAUCCUUUGAUGAAUAAAGAUUUAUCGUGCGGAGAUCAGCCUGUAUCCUAUUAGUUAGUUGGUGGGGUAAUGGCCUACCAAGACGACGAUGGGUAACUGGUCUGAGAGGAUGAGCAGUCACAUUGGAACUGAGAUACGGUCCAAACUCCUACGGGAGGCAGCAGUGAGGAAUUUUGCGCAAUGGGGGAAACCCUGACGCCAGCAACGCCGCGUGAGUGAAGACGGCCUUCGGGUUGUAAAGCUCUGUCGUGUAUGACGAGUAGGGACGGUAAUACACAAGGAAGCCUCGGCUAACUACGUGCCAGCCGCAGC